GCACUGAAUAGUUUCAAACAGAGCGCUUAUACAUGCUCAGAAUGAUUGCUUCGAACGAUUGUUGGUCUUUGUUCAAAUAUGGCGAAUAAAUUGACAAAACGAAAAUAUUACAUGACGUUCCAACGAAAAUAACAGCAGGGAUUGCGGGCGCGCGAGCGAAAAGGCGAGGGAAGAAAUAAAUAAAAGGGAUGAAACAAAUAUCACGUGACUUUUUAAAAUGCUUCUAGACUAUCCGUUUAAGCUUUUUGUGGUUUUUUUAAGGCUCAGUCGAUGUUCUCUUACAUGAACAAGCC